rnacentral:rRNA from 1 species
UACGUAGGGUGCGAGCGUUGUCCGGAAUUAUUGGGCGUAAAGGGCUCGUAGGCGGUCUGUUGCGUCGGGAGUGAAAACUCAGGGCUUAACCCUGAGCCUGCUUCCGAUACGGGCAGACUAGAGGUAUGCAGGGGAGAACGGAAUUCCUGGUGUAGCGGUGAAAUGCGCAGAUAUCAGGAGGAACACCGGUGGCGAAGGCGGUUCUCUGGGCAUUACCUGACGCUGAGGCGCGACAGCGUGGGGAGCAAACAGG